CACUCGUUCUUUCACUCGCCACCUCUCGCUCGUAUUCGCCCCCUCUCGCGCGCAUUCACUCCCUCUCGCGCGCGUUGUCUCCCUCUCUUUGCAUUCGCUUUACUUUUGUCAAUUUACGUGCCUCAUAUGAAACGGCGCCCAGAGACGGAUGGUGUAGCAAUAUUGUUGUCCGGGUGGAAAUAGGGAGAAAUUCGGGAGAAAGGUCGGCCCGGGAGAUUUUCGGGAGGGGCUUUGAAAUUCGGGAGUCUCCCGGAAAAAUCGGGAGGGUUGGCAUGUAUGACAUAGGUUUAGAUUCGGAAAUUAUAGCAUAGCGUCCGUUGAGGCAUAACUGAAGUCAAGAGGUCAGGACGCAUCUCUCUUUGUGUGCUCUACAGCUGCAGCGUGCGAGGCUGCGUCGACAGAGAGAAGCGGUUCUGAUUGGCUGUGUCUUGUGAUUGAUUGACGCGUCCCGCCCCCUUUCCUUUCGGUAUGGACAGACAUUUUGCUUAUCGCAGGAAUCUCAUCGCGUCGCGUUUGGUUAGUAUGAGGUCUCACCUUCAUUCAUAAAGUUAUGAUCUGUUGUGCAGUUGUUGUAUUUCUGAUGAUUGUAACGACACUUCUGAUCUUCUUCAUCAUCAGGAAACACAGAAAAACAAAUAAAGAUUAUCAGACCGGUGAAGAGGAGAUCACUUAUGCACAACCAACCUUCCGUGAAAGACCAACACAUAAACCGAGAUGUGCGGUGGAGGAUGAUGUGGUGUAUGCAGGAGUCAUGAGAAGAUGAAUAUGGAGCAGAGGAUCACUGAUAUAAGAAUUGUAAAACUCAAUAUUUAUGAAAAACUGCUAAUAAAAUAAGAAACAAGUCAUAA